UACGGGGGGGGCAAGCGUUGUUCGGAAUUACUGGGCGUAAAGGGCUCGUAGGCGGCCAACUAAGUCGGAUGUGAAAUCCCCAGGCUUAACCUGGGAACUGCAUCCGAUACUGGAUGGCUUGAAUCCGGGAGAGGGAUGCAGAAUUCCAGGUGUAGCGGUGAAAUGCGUAGAUAUCAGGAGGAACACCGGUGGCGAAGGCGGGUCUCUGGGCCGUAACUGACGCUGAGGAGCGAAAGCGUGGGGAGCGAACAGG
rnacentral:rRNA from 1 species